rnacentral:rRNA from 1 species
CCUACGGGAGGCAGCAGUGGGGAAUAUUGCGCAAUGGGCGAAAGCCUGACCCAGCAACGCCGCGUGAGGGAUGAAGGUCUUCGGAUCGUAAACCUCUGUUAUCAGGGAAGAACGAUGACUGUGCUAAUCAGCAGUGAAUUGACGGUAACUGCAAAGGAAGCACCGGCUAACUCCGUGCCAGCAGCCGCGGUAAUACGGAGGGGGCGAGCGUUGGUCGGAUUUACUGGGCGUAAAGCGCGCGUAGGCGGUAUGUCAAGUCAGGGGUGAAAUCCCCGGGCUCAACGUGGGAAGUGCCUUUGAAACUGGCAGACUGGAGUGCGGGAGAGGAGAGUGGAAUUCCAGGUGUAGCGGUGAAAUGCGUAGAUAUUUGGAGGAACACCAGUGGCGAAGGCGGCUAUCUGGCCCGUAACUGACGCUGAGGCGCGAAAGCGUGGGGAGCAAACAGGAUUAGAUACCCGAGUAGUC